rnacentral:rRNA from 1 species
GGUAGUCCACGCCGUAAACGAUGAGUGCUAAGUGUUGGAGGGUUUCCGCCCUUCAGUGCUGCAGUUAACGCAUUAAGCACUCCGCCUGGGGAGUACGGCCGCAAGGCUGAAACUCAAAGGAAUUGACGGGGGCCCGCACAAGCGGUGGAGCAUGUGGUUUAAUUCGAAGCAACGCGAAGAACCUUACCAGGUCUUGACAUCCUUUGACCACUCUAGAGAUAGAGCUUUCCCUUCGGGGACAAAGUGACAGGUGGUGCAUGGUUGUCGUCAGCUCGUGUCGUGAGAUGUUGGGUUAAGUCCCGCAACGAGCGCAACCCUUAUUGUUAGUUGCCAUCAUUCAGUUGGGCACUCUAGCGAGACUGCCGGUGACAAACCGGAGGAAGGUGGGGAUGACGUCAAAUCAUCAUGCCCCUUAUGACCUGGGCUACACACGUGCUACAAUGGACGGUACAAUGAGUCGCGAGACCGCGAGGUUUAGCUAAUCUCUUAAAGCCGUUCUCAGUUCGGAUUGUAGGCUGCAACUCGCCUACAUGAAGCCGGAAUCGCUAGUAAUCGUGGAUCAGCACGCCACGGUGAAUACGUUCCCGGGCCUUGUACACACCGCCCGUCACACCACGAGAGUUUGUAACACCCAAAGUCGGUGAGGUACCUAUGGACCAGCUACUAGCCAAGAU